CAACCUUACUCCUCUUCCAGUUUCCACUACUCUUCCGCUCAGGCCCACCUGAACAAUGCAGCCCACUCCCUGUGGACCCACUGCCAGGCUUGCUGGCUGGGGUCCUCCCUAGGUGGAAUUCACCUCCAUGCCAGUCACCAGCAUUAUCAUCAGGCCCAUGCUCAUCUUUGAUCUUCUCAUUGGUAAUCUUCAGGAUACAUUUGGCAUACUUCCAAAUUAACCACCGGGGAAGGGGAAGGUCUUAAGACUCAGGGCUUACAUACUGUCACAGGAAGAUUAAAGCAUCUUCCUGUCUCCCGCUUCCUCCCCGCCCCUCUUCCUCUCCAUUCGUUUCCCCCCCUCCCCGUUCCGUGCCUUCUUCCCCCGCCCGCGCCGUCCCUCCCCCUCCAACCUCCGGAGCUGGAAAGAGAGUCAAGAUGGCGGCUAAAUCCGAUGGUGGUGGCCUGGGGGGCUUCGCUCAGCUGCACAACCUGGACGAGGCGGUGGGCAGCGGCGGCGACGGCAGCGAGCCCGGCGAGAGCAGCUCGCUGCACAUCUGCCACUGCUGCAACACCUCCUCGCGCUACUGGGGCUGCCGCUCCGCCUGCCUGCGCUCCCUCCUGGGCAGGAAGCCGCGCCGCAGCGCCGCCGCCAACGGGGGGACCAGCCGCUGCAGCCUCCCGCGGCCCCCGGCGCCGACUGCCAAACUUCGACGCACUCGGCCGCGCGGCCGCAGCCGCCGCAGGUGGAGCGGCCGUGACUCGACUGCCUGUGGAUCGUGCUGGCGCUGCUCCGGUUCCUCGGGAACGUGGACACCGACCUGUGGCUGGCCCUCGACUACUACCACAAGGGGGACUAUGUCUACUUCGGGCUGACCCUCUUCUUCGUGCUGGUGCGGUCGCUGCUGGUGCAGAGCCUGAGCUUCCGCUGGUUAGUGCAGUACUACACGGGCGGCGGGCUGAGCGCCGUGGAGGGGCUCAGCAGCCGGGGGCCCCUCAGGAUGGGGGCCGGCUACGGCUACGGCGCGGCUGUCUCUGCCACGCCGGGGGCGCGGCGCCUGUGCCGCCUCUUCGUGUGGAUCUGGCAGUCGGUCAUCCACCUGCUGCAGAUAGGGCAGGUGUGGAGCUCUCAGUGAAAGACAUGAGGCUUUCACUGAAAUGAGGUUGUUUUGAGGUCAUCUGAUUUCUGACUAGAAGGUUUGCAAAUUUUUUUUGGUGAUGGCAUGUUCAGCAACUUGGAUCCCUAAUUUCAAUAUAUUGGAAAUAUUUAGGAACUCUGGAAAUUAUGUUGUUUUGCAACUUACUAGAUUGAUCAGUAGAUUUCAGUAAAUAUAUAAUAACAGAUAAUUAUGAUGUUGUACUUCUGGGUUGACAUGCAUGUCUCAAAUUAUCAGCUAUCUGUAUUAGUGUCAUACUUUGGAGACAGUUACCUUUUGAAGGUUUUGGGGUUCUUUUUUUUUUUUUUAGACGGAGUUUCGCUCUUGUUACCCAGGCUGGAGUGCAAUGGCGUGAUCUCGGCUCACCGCAACUUCCGCCUUCUGGGUUCAGGCAAUUCUCCUGCCUCAGCCUCCUGAGUAACUGGGAUUACAGGCACGUGCCACCAUGCCCAGCUAAUUUUUGUAUUUUUAGUAGAGAUGGGGUUUCACCAUAUUGACCAAGAUGUUCUCGAUCUCUUGACCUCGUGAUCCACCCUCCUCGGCCUCCUAAAGUGCUGGGAUUACAGGCGUGAGCCACCGCGGCCAGCCCGGUUUUGGGGUUCUUAUGAACCUCAGUUUUUUCAGGUAGUUUAUGUAAUUCUUCCUGUGGCUAUUCUUUUCUGUCUGCUUGCAGUGUAAAUUACUUAGAGGUAGUUAUUUUUAGGAAAAAAGAAAUCAUCAAAUGACAAUUCUUAAGGCAGUAAUGACAAAAUUCCAACCUGGAACUGGUCUCAGAAUGGAAUGCAUUAGAAUAUGCCAAGUCUACCCAGAUUAUAUCCAAAUCUACUUGUGGCACAAUGCUACCAGCUUUCAAAUGGAGACAUUAUUAUGUAGGACAGAAGUACUAAUGAGGAGGGAAAAGGAGUUGUUCAGUUUGCCCCCGCAACAGCCACCCCUUUCUGUUAUUGGGUGAAUGAAUUAAUGCAAAAUUAGUGGCCAAAAGGUAGGCAGUAUGAAUGAAAGGGAAGAGAAGGAAAAAAACUUUAAUCUCCAGGAAAGGUUAUUUACUCUUAAAAAAAAUUGAAAGUUGAGUGUAUUCCAUGUAACUGAACAUGAUAUUUUAAACUGUGGACUGCUUUCAGAAUGUAGACUAGUGUGUUCUCGGCCAUUGGAAUUAAUGAGAAUUUGUAUCUGAUAGGAGAGUCAGAGAGUCUUUGAGUGGUUAUCUUUUUUCUUACCUGUUCCUGGGCCUAAGAGACUUGAGGAACAUUCUAGGGCAGAUACAUAUGAUGGUCAAAUUAUUGACCAAAACAGGGAAGACUGAUUUUUAAGAUGACAUUCCGAGCAACUUGGAAAUGGAUCCAGGGAAAAGGCUGAAGAGAAGGCAAGGCACUAUAGAGACUGAGUAGACGCUCAGGGGAGUGUUCAUGUAUUAGUUUAUUGGAAGUUUCAUUGUUGGUGGAUGGUCCAGUAUUCCUGAAACUAGUGUGUAGCAGAAGUUUUCAUGACAUUUCUAGUGGACGGCUUUUGGAAGCUGAAGAGUUUACCUCAAUACCCUUGGCCCCCUUUUUGCUUUGCUUGUUUUAAGAGAAAUUGACUGAUACGUAUUUAAUAGAAGGCACAGUGAAAACAUUAAGUAGGUUUUUAAAGACCAGGUGUGAUGGCUCAUGCCUGUAAUCUCAGCACUUUGGGAGGCUGAGGUGGGCUGAUCACUUGAGGUCAGGAGUUCAAGACCAGUCUGGCCAACUUAGUGAAACCCCGUCUCUACCAAAAAUAUAAAAAUUAGCCAAGUGUGGUGGCAGCUACCUGUAAUCCCAGCUAUUUAGGAGUCUGAGGCAGGAGAAUCGCUUGAACCCAGUAGGUGGAGGCUGCAGUGAGCUGAGAUUGUGCCACUGUACUCCAGCCUGGGUGACAGAGUGAGACUCCAUCUCAAAAGUAAAAACAAAAAAACCCACAUUAAAUAGGUUUUUAAAAGUCAUGUUAAAUUUUAAUCUGAGCCUCUGUUGCCUGUUUAGUUGCUUUCUCAUUUAGCUGGCUUUUAGAAGAAACUUUCAUUCUAUGAUACUUUCAUCAAGAGAGGUGUUUCCUCUUAGUCAAUUCUAGCCACAAUAUUGACUGGGCCCAGCCAUUUGAUACACCCAGAAGGAAUUAACCAGGCAGGUGAAAACUUGGUCCCUAGUGGAAUGAAUAUUUUAAAGACCAUCUUAGAUUCUGAAAACUGUGAGCACAAAUGAAAGAGACCCAAGAGGGAACGACUUCAGAGCCUAAGAAUAAGAAGUGGUGGUGGGGUUGGGGGACAAACUCACCCAGAACUCUCUUAAAGUGCUCUCAGUGAAGGAAGUGACUUUCCUGGGAAGGAGGAGCUGGUGCACACAUGGCCUGGAGCUGUGGGUGUUCUGAGGUUGGGCAGCUCAUACUAGUGGGCUGCAGUAUCUUACAGGUAGUGGCAUGUGAUCUUUGGAAGUACUGAUAUAUUUCCUAACAAUGAAUUUGAUUUUGUUCUGGUAUGUUCUGAAUGGGUGUAUGGCUCAAAGAUUAACUUAGCUAAAAAUAGAUAUAUUAGAUAUUAGAGAAAAUAUUUAAAAAAAAAAAAAAGAAUCUUCCUGUGAGCCCCUCAGACUAUCAACGUACUGAUUAAUACAGAACCUACUGACAUUGAAAACGACAUCGAUCUGUUUCUGAAUCCUGAAGCUUUGCUGAUUGUCCUGCAUGAAGAACAUUUUAGGCUGGGUGCAUGUCAGCACACGCCUGUAAUCCCAGCACUUUGGAAGGCUGAGGUGGGUAGAUCGCUUGAGGUCAGGAGUUCGAGACUAGCCUGGUCAAAUGCUAAAACCUCAUCUCUACCAAAAAAUACAAAAACUAGGUGGACGUGGUAGUUGAGGUGGGAGAAUCACUUGAACCUGGGAGGCAGAGGUUGCAGUGAGCUGAGAUUGAGAUUACACUGAACCCCAGCCUAGGCAACAGAGUGAGACUCUGCCUCAGGGGGGAAAAAAAAAAUUAGCCUGCAUGUUGUCAUCUGCAGCCCAUGAUUGUAACCUCUAUAUUGUACCCCCAAUGCAGUAAGGCAACUCCAGUACAAGGAGUUCCCCUCUCUUCUGCUAAAUGUUCUUAUAAAAGCCGUUCACCUUGCCGCAGACUCUGGAACAAGCCCAGCUUUCUUGGUGUGACUUCGUUAGUGCGUUUUCCUGUGUCAAUCCUCACUUUUGGCUUCCAAUAAACCUCUAUCGGGUCGUAUCUAUCUCAACAGCCUUAAUUUUGGUCAGCAUCAUCUAAAACUCUGCCCUGGGGAGUGUGAAGCAAAAAUGCAAAAAACAUGUUUUAUUUGAUGGUGGUGACGUUUUCAUUCAGGAAUUUUGACUAUAAAGGCUGGAUUUCUGGCAGGGUGCAGCGGCUCUCACCCGUAAUCCCAGCAUUUUGGGAGGUGGAGGCAGGCGGAUCAUCUGAGGUCAGAGUUCGAGACCAGCCUGACCAACAUGGUGAAGUCCCAUCUCUACUAAAAUACAAAAAUUAGCCAGGUGUGGCAGCAGGCGCCUGUAAUCCCCGCUAUUCAGGAGGCUGAGGAAGGAGAAUCACUUGAACCCAGGAGGCAGAGGUUGCAGUGAGCUGAGAUUGCGCCACUGUACUCCAGCCUGGGGGAGAAGAGCGAGACUUCAUCUAAAAAAACAAAAAGACUGCAUUUCCGGCUUCUUGGAGUUGUGGCAGCCCCAUGCCGGGUUUUCCACUUGGCCUCAUCACCAAAAGCUAAGCAUGCCUCUCCUUUUUAGAAAUUUGGGGCCAGGUGCAGUGGCUCACUCCUGUAAUCCUAGCACUUUGGGAGGCCAGGGUGGGUGUAUCACCAGAGGUCAGGAGUUCAAGACCAGCCUGGCCAUAGGGUGAAACCCCAUCUUUAUUUAAAAAAAAAAAAAGAAAAAGAAAGAAAGUUGGUAGUCUCUGCUUCUCCUUGGCCAUUCUAUAACCUGUUCUUGUCCUGUGGGAGCUUUUGCUUGACCCACUUCACAGGCUGGGGUCAGAUUCCUCAGCUUGACCCUCAAGGCCUUUCCCAUUCAGGCAACGUCACCUCUCUGCUGUCUUCCUUUCCUUCCUUCACCUUCCUCUCCUGGCCGAGGGAACACUGGAUGGCUCCAUAGUGUAUGCCAUGCCACUGGCCUCCCUGUCUCUGCACCCGCAGGCCCUGUCAACCAACCGGCAAUUCUUCCUGUAGUCACAUCCUACUCAUUCAUCCAGGCCCAGACUCCAUGCACGUCCCCCAGAUAUCCUCUCUUGUCUCCCUGUUGGAAAGUGCUUCCUGCUUCUCUCCUCUGGCCACCCACAAAACCAUUGCUAUCCCUUAUCAGCCCUUUUCUGCAUACAUACAUACACACACACGCACACACACAUUCACACAUGUGCACACACACACACCCCUUACCAGCCCCCUUUCCACACACACACACACACACACACACACACACACACACACACACGGCUAAGCAUCCAUUGUGUACAUGCUGGGGAAGCAAUGAGGAAAAUGACCUUUGGGAGUGUUAAAGAAAAAGUGAGACCGGGCGCAGUGGCUCACACCUGUAAUCCCAGCACUUUGGGAGGCCAAGGCAGGAGGAUCACUUGAGCCCAGGAGUUCAAGACCAGCCUGACCAACAUGGCAAGACCCAGUCUUUACAAAAAAUGCAAAAAAAUUAGCCAGGCAUGGCAGCACAUACUUGUAGUCUCAGCUACUCAGGAGGCUGAGGUAGGAAUAUCAUCUGAGCCCGGGAGGUCGAUGCUGCAGCGAGCUGUGUUCGUGCCAUUGCCCUCCACCCUAGGUGACAGAGUGAGACUCUAUAGCAAAAAACAAAACAAAACCAUGAUUCAAUAAUACUUGUUAAAGCACUGUAAAGGCUGGGCACACACAGGAUAAAAGCCGGGCUCACGUCUAUAAUCCCAGAACUUUGGGAGGUGGAGGAGGGCAGAUCACCUGAGGUCAGGAGUUCGAGACCAGCCUGGCCAACAUGGUGAAACCCCAUCUCUACUAAAGAUACAAACAUUAGCUGGGCAUGGUGGCAGGCACCUAUAAUCCCAGCAACUCGGGAGGCUGAGGUAGAAAAUUACUUGAACCUGGGAGGCGGAGGCUGCAGUGAGCCAAGAUUGUGCCACUGCACUCCAGCCUGGGCAACACAGUGAGACUCCAUCUCAAACAAACAAAAAGGGCACGGUAAGGCAGCCUUUAUUCAGGAGCAUGGAGACAGACACAGGAAGCACUAGAGUGGAAUCCUGCAGUGGGGGAGAGAGAUCCGGCUCAACUCUGAAUACAGCACCAUAAGGUGGGGGUUGAGAACCAAGGAGCAGGAUGGGGGCCGGGAGGAUGGGAAAUUACUAAAAGCAACAUCGGGGUCGGGUAUUCCAGCUAAACUGACCUAACAAGAUUCUAGCUGAAGGUAGGCUAGGGUGACCAGACAUUACCUGGAGGCUGGUGGGGACUGAGGAACCUGACCAGACAUUAAGGGUGAUCAGGUUUUGAGGGUGGGGGAUUACACUACAGUGAGCUAGCAGGGUUCUUGCUGAAACUGCAUUUUAUAAGGAAGUACAUAGAUGGGUCUAGAAGAAGCCUCAGGGGCCUGGGGUAAAGCAGAGUCUUUGUCAGGAGCCUCCAGGUGACUUGUCUGCAGAGCUCAGGGGAGGAGAGGCCCCUGACCAGGGCUACCAGGCUAGACUGAGAAUAGACUCCUCUAUGGAGAAAACAUGCAGCAACCUGUAACUUAAAAGAGGGAUUUCCAGACUCAGAAAACCGUCAGGUCUUCAUAUGCAAGCUGGAACCAGAAAGUCUGAAGUUCUGCCUGCCUCUGCGAAUCGUCUCCCACCCCACCGCCUGUGGUCGCCAUUGUCCCUAAUUGCCCAGCGGAGCUUCCCCGGACAGGCCCCUCACCCCACCCUGCCAUCUUCACUGUUCUUAUGAUAAUGUGAAAGCUCCUUGCCCCAUCCUGCCAUCUUAACUGCUCUUCCGCCUUAGCCAACCCGCCAUUGUAACUGAACUUGUGGUCAUGGAGACUCCUUGCCUCUACCCCCCACCACUGUAACGGAUCUUACUGUACAACAUCCCCGCCCCCCAAAAUUACCCCAACUUAUAAAACCAAUUCCCACCCUUACUCCCUGCACCUGUCCUUUCUCAGGUUCCGCCUGCUUGCACCCAAGCGAGAAAUAAAAUGGCCUUAUUGCCCACACAAAGCCUGUUUGGAAAAUCUCUUUAUUAAAUGCAUUUAAAGCUGGGCACGGUGGCUCACGCCUGUAAUCCCUGCACUUUGGGAGGCCGAGGCGGGUGGAUCACGAGGUCAAGAGAUCGAGACCACCCUGGUCAACCUGGUGAAACCCCGUCUCCACUAAAAAUACAAAAAAUCAGCUGGGCAUGGAGGUGCAUGCCUGUAAUCCCAGCUACUCAGGAGGCUGAGGCAGGAGAAUUGCCUGAACCCAGGAGGCGGAGGUUUCGGUGAGCCCAGAUCGUGCCAUUGCACUCCAGCCUGGGUAACAAGGGCGAAACUCCGUCUCAAAAAAAAAAAAAAGCAUUUAAUAUUCGGUACUAUUGGAUGCAAAUAACAAAAACAACCAAAGCAACUCACUGUGCCUGAGGGGGCGUGGCCUACCUGGAACCCAAGGCAGCCUUCCUUCCUGGGAGGGAGCUGAAAGCGAGCAGGGGCUGACCACAAACUGUCCUGGAGGCCACGUUCAACUUUUGACUCCAGCGUAAUUGGAAAACCAGUGGCGUUUUUAAAGCAAAGAGGUUAUGCAAUGAGUCUAUAUUUUGCUAGAAUGUAAAACCCAUCAGGGCAGGGAUUUUGGUCUGUUUUAUUUCUGGAACACCUGGUAAGAACUGAAUAAACAAUUGUGUAAUGCAUGAGUGAGAGAAAGAGUGAAUGGGGUGCAGGAAGAUAGAUUAAGCUGGCGACAGGACAGGGAUUGACUUCAGUGGGCAGAGUUUGGUAAGGGAGGUCAGGAGGUUGGGAUACCAGGAGAGAGUGAGAAGGGCCAGCUGGCACAGAUGGCAGCUGGGGACAGAGUGGAGGGGACAAGUGGAGAGGUUUAGAGGUAACUUUACAGUGUCCUUCAUACUUCAAAAGUCUGGCACAGAGUAGUCACCUGUGGACAUUCUAGAUCUAAUCAAAGGCAGAACCACCUGGCCCUUGACUCCAGCAAUUCGAUGGCUGGCCCGGAAUUUCCUCCCUGGCAACCGUAUCAUUCUUACAGCAUUUCUUCCCAGUUUACUUAGAGCUUCUGCAGACAUUGCCUCAUCAGAUCCUUAUCACAGCCCUGAGAAGGGGGACUCAUUAGCUCCAUUUUAUAGACUCGGAAACAGAGGCCAAGAGAGGUUACGUGACUUCUCUGGGGUAACAUAUGGGAGACGUGGAAUUCAGACCCAGCCACCAGUCUCUGCCUCCAGGGUCCUUUCUGCUUCCUCCGUCAGUUGGAGAGAUAUGAUUAGCAAAUGUGAAAGAGAGCACCAGGCAGCAUAUGGAUUCAGCAUGAAAUGGGAUAUUAGUAGUGAUAUUAAUAAUAAUGAAUGGUGCUGAUGUUCAUCAAGUACUGUUGUGUGCCAGCUUCUACUCCAAGCACUUGACCCGAGUCCCCUCAUUCAUUCUUCAGACACUCUUUGGGUUUGAUCUGUCACUCUCCCCAUUUUACACGUAGCCAAGCACAUGAGAGACACCAAUGUGGGCUGAUGCCGCCAGGGAAGGCCUCAGAGAGGACAUAAGAUGCGGGUGGGAGAGGAAUAAGGCACACUGGAGACAGAUGUGGCUUCAGCAAAGGUGUGGAGGAGUGGGCAAGAAAGGAGGGGAGAAGCCAAUGGGUGUGUGAGACACGGCCUUGGCCUGCCUGCUCUCCAGGAGGGGCCAGGCCUGGCUGAUUGAGGUUUGGCCACAGUAGGUCCCUAGGGCAGGUUGAUGACAACAGAGUGAUAAGGGUGCCCUGGGCUGCGGUGAGGAAGAGGGGCGGAAGAGGGAGACAGCUGGCUGGUCAGGGCAGUGCGGGUUGGUUGGAAAUCCUGUGCUCAAGCUAUCCUCCCACCCCAGCCUCCCAAGUAGCUGUCACUACAGGCAGCAUGACUAUACCCAGCACAUUUUAUUAAUUUAUUUUUGAGAUAGGAUCUCCCUCUGUUUGCCCAGGCAGGUGUGCAGGGGUGCCAUCUUUGCUCACUGCAGCCUCAACCUCCCUGGCUCAGGUAGUUCUCCCACCUCAGUCUCCCAAGUAACUGGGACUACACGCACGUGCCACCAUACCCUGCUAAUGUUUGUCUUUUUAGUAGAGGUGGGGUUUUGCCAUGUUGCCCAGGCUGGUCUCAAACUCCUGGACUCAAGCAAUCUACCUGCCUCAGCCUCCUAAAGUGCUAGGAUAACAGGUGUGAGCCACUGCGCCCUGGCCAGCACCCAGCAAAUUUUAUGUAGCACAUUUUAAGAGGCCAAACCAGAUGUUUCACGACGGUGCCCAUAGCUUUUUGUUUGCUGCACAGUGUUGGUUCAUAUACUGUUGUUUUAGAAAAAUUAAUAAAAAAUCAGAACAUUUCAAAUCCAAAGCCAAAUUUACUGUUUCUGUUGGAAAGCGAGAAGAUCUGGCAAGGCAGGGCCUCACUUCCUUACGGCAGCAAUUGGCUGAAACACCUCUUGGCCACAGUCCCCACUAGUCCCUGUUGUUAUGCUCCACCUAUCUCACUCACUGAUGUCACUUGCUUGGCCCCCUUAGGCAUUGAGUUUUAACACCUGAUUUAGAGGAACUGCAGCAUGUUUGGAGAAGGGACCAGACUGUCUAGUGAUUUGGAACUAUAUCAUAUGAGGACCAGCUGGAGCAAUGGGGGAUAUUUACCCUCUAGGGGCUUGAUUACUGCUUUUACAUUCAAAGGGCUAAGAUAGAGGAGGGGUCAGAUCUGUUCUAUGCCACCACGGCAACAAACUAGAACCAGUGGACAUGUGUGCAGGGAGCGGGAGGGGAGGCAACAGGGAGGCAGAUUUCUGCUCAAACUGAGGCAGACUUUUGAACAUCAUAACCAUUUCAAGAUGCAACAGUCAUGUCAGGAAGUAGCGAGCUCCCUGGCAGAGUUGGGGGCCGUGUUUAGGCUAAGCCUGAGCCUGAGCAGCAGCUUCAUCAUGAAUGUUUAUAGAAAAUCCAAGUGUUACGUGGGCAGCUGAACUGGAUGCCCUUUGUGGUUUCUCCCAGCCCUCUAGGGCUGGGCUCUGUGCCCACAAAAGGGAUGCCAGCGUGAAGGAGAAGGAAGAGCACAAAAUGACUCCUCCACUGCUGGCCUGGAAGCCUGGAAGAUGCUGCCACUGGUGGGAGGGGCAGGAGAAGACAUUUUUGGUGAUGUAGCAUCAGAAAAGCAAGGGGUUUGGGUCAGACCAGUCAGGUCUUUUUUUUUUUUUUUGAGACAGAGUUUUGCUUUUGUUACCCAGGCUGGAGUGCAAUGGCACGAUCUCGGCUCACCGCAACCUCUGCCUCCUGGGUUCAAGCAAUUCUCCUGCCUCAGCUUCCUGAGUAUCUGGGAUUACAGGCACGCACCACCAUGCCCAGCUAAUUUGUUGUAUUUUUAGUACAGACAGGGUUUCACCAUGUUGACCAGGAUGGUCUCGAUCUCUUGACCUUGUGAUCCACCCACCUCCGCCUCCCAAAGUGCUGGGAUUACAGGCUUGAGCCACCGUUCCCGGCCCAGUCAGGUGUUUUAAGCUUUCCAUGUCUCUGUGUCUUCCUUGGAGUAUCUCCCAGUGUUGCCAGGAGGAUUUAGAUGAAAACAGCCUGCUAACCAAGACAGCUGGAUAAAGGUGAGUGCCCCACCCCCACUCCAGCCUGAGAGACCCUAGCGUUCUGGAACUGUGAAGAGCCACACCUGAGUUCUGGACCUGCCCUUAUGGCCAGAAGUCUGACAUCCAGUUUCUGUCUGUCAGAGGGAGAAGCAUGUUGGAUGACCUCCAGGGGCCCUGACAGCUCUGGGCCACUGCAGUCCUGAUGGGAACCUGCAUGCCUGAGCUCUCUGUCCAAAAGGGCCAGGAUGGAGGCCGGAGCAGAGGAGUUGGGAGGCCCUGGAGGCGGCUACUGCAAAUGUCCUUCCGUCACGGGAAAGGGAGAUGCUCAGAGCUCAGCUUUAGAUACGGUUUUGACUUUCAAAUGAUAAAUAUUAUCUUACACAUUAAAAAGUGCAGUUAAACCAAAAAAGAAAAAAAAAAAGCAAACCUGAAAUAGAAUACAAAUAGAAAAGAAGCCGGGAAUGGUUGCUCACUCCUGGAAUCCCAGCACUUUGGGAGGCUGAGGCAGGCAGAUCACUUGAGGCCAGGAGUUCGAGACCAACCUGGCCAAAAUGGUGAAAGUUCAUCUCUACUAAAAAUACAAAAAUUAGCUGGGUGUGGUGGCAGACAUAUGUAAUCCUAGCUACUAGGGAGGCUGAGACACAAGAAUCACUCCAACCUGGGAGGUGGAGGUUGCAGUGAGCCAGGAUUACGCCAAUGAACUCCAGCCUGGGCUACAGAGCAAGACCCUGUCUCAAAAUAAUAAUACUAAUAAUAAUACCAAUAGAAAAGAAAAUGAUGCCAGGUAUGGUGGCUCAUGCCUGUAACCACUUUGGGAGGCCAAAGCAGAAAGAUUGCUUGAGGCCAGCAGUUCAAGACCAGCCUGGGCAACAAAGCAAGACCCCCCCCCAACCCCAUCUCUAUAAAGAAGAAAAGGAAAAGCUAGCCAGGCAUAGUAGCAUACACAAGUAGUUCCAGCUACUCCGGAGGCUGAGGUGGGAGGAUUUUCUGAGCCUGGGAGGUCAAGGCUGCAGUGAGCUGAAAUCGCACCACUGCACUCCAGCCUGGGCAACAGAGUGAGAUCCUGUCUGGUCUGGAACUCCUGGGCUCAAGGGAUCCUCCCACCUCAGCCUCCCAAAGUGCUGGGAUUACAGUCGUGAGCCGCCAUGCCCAGCCUCUUUAUUUUGACAAGGUCUCACUCAGUUGUGCAGGCUGAAGUGCCAUGGCUCAAUCUAGGCUCACUGCAGCCUUGACCCCCCAGGUGCAAGUGAUCCUCAUGCCUCAGCCUCUUGAGUAGCUGGGACUAUGGGUAUGCACCACCAUGUCUGGCUAAUUUUUAAAUUUUUUUAAAUAGAAACAGGGUCUUGCUUUGUUGUCCAGGCUGGUCUUGAACUUCUGGGCUCAAGUGAUCCACCUGUCUUGGCCUCCCAAAGUACUGAAAUUAUAGAGCUGAGCCCCUGAGCCCAGCAUGAUGAUGUAUUUCUGAAACGAUUUGGUGUAUUCUUCAGCCUUCAUGUAUUUCUGUGAUUUUGAAAAGCAGUGUUAUUCGUCUGGGCUCACUGUGAUUGCUCACAGCAAAGCAAACAUUUCAACAAGUAGAUACCUGGCAAGUAACCCCCGCAGCAUGUGGGACUCAGCCCAGCUGAAAACAGCCUCCACGCCUCAGCCCCAAGGCUGUCGUGGGUCGCUGAGUGGAUAGUGUCCCCUGUAGGACAAUGCUUGCCAAGCGCCUUCCCCCGAAACAUCUUGUGUAGCACAUGCAUUACAAUUUACA